CUCUCCCUCCUCCGCUGCCCCCUCCCAUUCCCCAUCGUCUCCCACACAUCGGCGCCACCUCGUCGCCUCCCUCCUCCUACAGCUUGCCGCCGACCCUCUCCCUCCUCUCACCUCGCAGCACCGGCGGCUGCUAGAUCCGCCACAACCCCCACCCAUCCAUCCCUCUCACGACCCAUCUCUCUCCCCUACGAACCCUCGUGCCGCCACCAACGCCUCCAGAUUCCGGCGGCGUCCACCACCGCGCAGCACGCUCACGAGCUCGUCUUCGACCUAUUUGUCCUCCAGCACGGCUGGAUCCGCCGCUCCCGGCCUCCGGCGCUUGUCCGCAACCCUAGCCCAUGGCUAGGGUUUCGGCUGCGGCGUCGCUUCCACCACCGACGGGUCUCCAGCGACUCGUCUUCGUCGUACACCGUGCCCCCUCCCACCCUCUACUCCUCCUGGAUGGCGUCCCCUAGCUCGGCGCGCUCGCGUGCGUUGGGCUGGAUGGCGAUAACCCCGACCCCCUCGCCGCGUCGCCGGCACGGCCGUGCUUCCUGUCGCGACAUGGAUUGAUCUUCAUACUUGUUAUUUGACCCAUCGUAGUUCUGCUUCAUUGCCAUCUGAAUUGCGAAGUUGAAGGAAAUUUUUUGAGGAGUUGGGUGUGACUGAUUUUGUUCAGGUUUUAGUACUGCAGCCGAUGGAUGGGAAAAUGUUUGGCGAAGGUCUAACACUUCUGGGUGAUAGGUUUCCACUGAUCAGUGAGGACGGUUGAUGAUGACAAUUGAACGACUGAAUCCGUCCACUGACAGAAUUAAAGAGACCCGAAGAAUUGUGCUGGAGACAAAAGUACUUGGUGUGUCAAUUCUUCCAGACAGUCAUCAACAAUGGCAGUCACUACUGCAUGCUCACACUACAGUUUCCUUUGGUUGUGAGAGGCGCAUAGGAAGGUUGAGCUGCCGAGGUGAACUUGAUGAUUAAGAGGGUCUGUACAAUGUUGAUGUAAUCUAGCGUAAUUGUUAUUGAGGGCAUGUGAAGUAAUGUUGUAUGUGUUUUUGGCACAUUUUAGAAGGCCUUAACUUUCUGAAAUUAUUGAAUAGAAAUUUGUGAAAUGGCAAAACUAUGGAUUCGUUGAA